rnacentral:misc_RNA from 1 species
AAAUGUAGGAAACUAAUCAAUGUUAAGAGAAUCAACUAAAAUAAGGAAAUCCACAUAAAUACAUUAAAUAUUUACCUUCAAUUCGUGAUUUAUAUUCUUUAUUAACAAAUAAUAAUUAUCUCAACUAACUAGCAUGCAGCACAGUAGUAGAUAUAAAUCAUACCUUAACUAGUAACUCUUGAGUUCUUUCUUCAUGAUUGUUCUCCUAAUCUUCAAUGUGGAAUUAUUUUGAAAUGAUUUAAAUAAAUAAAGACCAGCAACUCAAAUAGAUGUUUCUGAAAAAUGGGAGUAUUGGCACCUUGGGAAAGAGAGGCUGAACUGCUGUUGUGAGAAAGAAAAAAGGGAAAAAAAAGGAGCAAGUUAUAUAUGUUAAUGGCUGUAAUGGACUUUGCUUAAUGAAAAGCCUAUGGAUAAUGGCCCUUUAUGUAACGGUGGCAACGGCCGUUAAAAUAACAAAAGAAAAAAUUUUGGCCUUUACAUAACAGGGUAACAUUAAUAUUAACCCCAAAAACCUUUAUAGGCUGUUAUGUAUCGUAACGGUUGUUACUUAAAUUCUUGAUGUGAAGUUAUGUUAUAGCCUUUUCCUUUUUUUAAAAAGAAAAUUUCUCAAUGUUGCAAUUGGCUUGAUGAGAAUCUGAUUUCAGGAGAACAACAGAACUGAACUGGAAAGGCUUGACAGAGAAAGGCAUGCUGACUUCUUGAACAUGUUGAA